GAAAUAGCCCAGGGAAACUUGGAUUAAUGCCCCGUGGUACCAUGACCCGGCAUCGGGAUAUGGUUAAACCCUUCGGGCGGUACAAGAUGGCCAUGCGUCCCAUUAGUUUGUUGGUAAGGUAACGGCUAACCAAGACUACGAUGGGUAGGGGCCCUGAUAGGGGGAUCCCCCACACUGGUACUGAGACACGGACCAGACUCCUACGGGAGGCAGCAGUGAGGAAUAUUGGACAAUGGAGGAGACUCUGAUCCAGCCAUGCCGCGUGCAGGAAGAAUGCCCUAUGGGUAGUAAACUGCUUUUAUACGGGAAGAAAAAGAUCUACGUGUAGCUUACUGACGGUACCGUAAGAAUAAGGCACCG
rnacentral:rRNA from 1 species